rnacentral:rRNA from 1 species
UACGUAGGAGACGAGCGUUGUCCCGGAAUUACUGGGCGUAAAGCGCGUGUAGGCGGAUGGGCAAGUCUGCUGUGAAAGCUCCUGGCUUAACCGGGAGUGGUCGGUGGAAACUGCCAAUCUGGAGGACGGUAGAGGUAGGUAGAAUUCCCGGUGUAGUGGUGAAAUGCGUAGAGAUCGGGAGGAAUACCUGUGGCGAAGGCGGCCUACUGGGCCGGACCUGACGCUGAGACGCGAAGGCGUGGGGAGCGAACGGG